GACGGACGCUGGCGGCGUGCCUAAUACAUGCAAGUAGAACGCACAGUUUAUACCGUAGCUUGCUACACCAUAGACUGUGAGUUGCGAACGGGUGAGUAACGCGUAGGUAACCUGCCUGGUAGCGGGGGAUAACUAUUGGAAACGAUAGCUAAUACCGCAUAAUAUUAAUUAUUGCAUGAUAAUUAAUUGAAAGGUGCAAUUGCACCACUACCAGAUGGACCUGCGUUGUAUUAGCUAGUAGGUGAGGUAACGGCUCACCUAGGCGACGAUACAUAGCCGACCUGAGAGGGUGAUCGGCCACACUGGGACUGAGACACGGCCCAGACUCCUACGGGAGGCAGCAGUAGGGAAUCUUCGGCAACGGACGAAAGUCUGACCGAGCAACGCCGCGUGAGUGAAGAAGGUUUUCGGAUCGUAAAGCUCUGUUGUAAGAGAAGAACGGGUGUGAGAGUGGAAAGUUCACACUGUGACGGUAUCUUACCAGAAAGGGACGGCUAACUACGUG
rnacentral:rRNA from 1 species